rnacentral:tRNA from 1 species
UCCUCAGUAGCUCAGUGGUAGAGCAAUUGGCUGUUAACCAAUUGGCCAUAGGUUCAAAUCCUAUCUGAGGAG